rnacentral:snoRNA from 1 species
AAGGCUAUACUUCCAGGGAUCAUUCCUAUAGUUGGUGACUAGAAAAUGUGGCCAGGGGAUUACUUAGUACUCAUGAUCUCACUAAGCACAUGAGUUGCUCUACCUCUGGCUGAAUGAU